rnacentral:lncRNA from 1 species
UGCCCUCUGUAUGCAUAAUAUCGCAAUGUGAACUGCAACCCUGACAAGUCCUGGCUUAGUCCCUUCUGGCGUACCAACCCUUUAAUCAGAACCUGCAAUCAGAAAAUAGUCUCUUGUAAGUUCAAACAAACUUACUGAAUUUUAACCCAGAUUACCUUUAAGCGUUCAUUGUUAAAUUUCUCAACUUGAAUAUUUUGGAUUUCUUUUAAGUCAUAGGCAGACACUUUUCGAAUAUCAGGUGCACACAUAUACGCCAAUUCUUAUGCAUAACCAACCUACUGAUCUACCGUAAUUCGGCGUAGCAGACUAAACUAGUUUUCACAUUUAAGGAGUUUGAAUACAAUCAUUUUUUUUAUGUUUUAAUUCAGUUUCUUUAGUUUUGUUUACAUUUAAUAAAAUGUGCACAUUGAGUUUUUUAUUAACCGUAAGGGCCGAAUAAGGCCUAAGGGAGAGCUAUCGUACUUUGUGAGUGUGUAAGAGACCAUUAAAAGGCAUUUUGGGGCAAUACUGGACGCUAUGUCGCAAUAUGAGGGAUCCAAUGUCACAACAUAGAAAGUAGAAUAGAGGAAGUAAUAAAUUGCCUUCAAUAUCGCGACACAGGCUAAGGGUAUCGUAACAUACCCCUAAAGAUGGCUACAGAGGGAUAUGCUAGUUGCUAUGUCGUGACACAAGUCCUGGUGUGUCGCGACAUCAACUCUGUAAUGAGAAUAAAACACGAAGUAGGGGCAUUUUGGUCUGUACAAUCGAACUUUAAAGCUCGGGAACGUUAGCUAUCCUAGGGCUAAGGACGAUGACUACCUGAAGGCUAUAAAUAAACCUCUCUGGCACACAUUAUGGAGACGAUACCAUUAGCUUAGACUUUCUCUUUAGGUUUAAUUUCGUUUUCUUAGUUUUUCAAAGUUUCGUUUCUUUUGUUGUUUAUUUUAUUUCAAGAGAUUUGAGUUGUAAAGGAGAUUGACUCUUGUGGAUUCACAUUCAUUAUCAAAAUUAAUCAGGUUUUUCUUAAACUCUACUAUUCAUUCAUUAUGAUUAAUUUUUAUAUCUAUUCCAUGUUGUUUAUGAAAGCCAUGAGGAACUAAUCCUUCUAUUGGCAAUUAGCGAGUGGAAGCAUGACCUUUUAACUAUCUUGUAGGGUAAUUCAAUGGAUCAAAUGUUUGGGAAAGGGAGAACGCAAAACAAACUAUAGGCUUAGAAACAUGAAAAUAUACACACUUUUUCAUGCCCUUUAACUCAAAUUCAUACGGUUUCGGUAAAAUUCUUGUCGAAAAAUAUAUAAUUAUUAUAAAAUAAUUAAAUUACACUCAAAUUAUUAACAUUUUGAAUUUUAAUUAAUUUUAUAUAAAAUUUUAAUUAAUUUUGAUUAUUUUUGACAGAUUUACACAAAGGACAAAAAAUGGCUCGACAGACACUACUAGAAGCACAAAACCGAGAAAUAAUUUUGAAGCAUUAAUGCUAAUUAAUUUUUUAGCUUAAGAAGGUCCAAAUUAUGAAUAUAAAUUCAUAAAAUAAUUAAUUUUAAUUUUAAUCCAAUUUAAUUUGGGUUAAAUAAAUUAUUGUUAAUUAAUUAUGAAUAGGCGCCCAGUUGAGCUGAAUCGAGAAAAUCGAUCCAACCGAGCACUGGGCAGCCCAAAACUGUCCCACAUGCGGACUCAAUCAGCUUUUUUGUCUGAUAAUUUGGCUUGCAAAAUAGCCCUUGAAGACUCCUUCAAAUUGCAUUCAAACCCCUCUACUAUUUAUGCCUUUUUAGAUUUGCCCCUACCUUAAAAUUGCAAGUUUGAGACCUUCAAACUUGCCACAUGUGUGGUCAGCCAUGGGGGGACUCUAUGGCUGCUGAUUUUUGCUAAUUAUAGCAGCCAUCUCAACCUAUAAAUAUCCCUCUUGGCUGCUCACUUCAAACACAUUUCAAACUCAUUUAUUUCUUCACUUCUCUCUCACUUUUCUUUCUUCAUUCCGUUCAAUUGUUCUUCAUUUUCUUGCCCCAUUCCCUUUCCGAUUUCACCUAUUGAAAAAGAGUCCUUCAACAAUCAUUUGGAGAAGCAUUCAAGUGUUUGUAAAAGCCUCGGUUCAACAAGAACAAGCGAAGAAGGAGGAGCGGAGCAAACUAGUCAAGCCUCGGAGAAACACCGGAUUUGAUUCUUGUUCCUUAUCCGUUUUAAUUUUAUUGUUGUUAUGAAAAUCUCUAUGAAUAAUUGUAAUGUUGAUAUGUUUAAUUUAAUUAAUAUGACUUCAUGUUAGGUUGAUUGCAUUUCAUCUACAUAAUUUAUUAAAAUUGUGUUUGUGUUGUUAUAGGCCUCGGUAAGAUGUUUGAUUAAGUAAAACCAUGACCAAGUUAUUCUUGCAUUACAAUUGUAAGGUAACUAACGGAUUAAUUAUUUAAACAAAUUGAAAUUGUAAUCAGUGCAUGUUUAAUCAUCUAAGGUAGCUGAGGGUUAAAUAAGAAAAAAUAUCUAAUGAUACAUUAGCCUUGCAUAACUUGCAAGAUUAUUGUGAUUAAACUGUUUCAAGGUAGAAAUACAUUGUUACCUCACAUAAUCUUUUAUGUGCUUAUGAGAUUGAAUUAAUUGUUUGAAUUGGCAUAGAAAUAUGUACAAGAGAUUAUUUUAAUUUCAUAAGUAUGUAUAUGCGUUAACACAUUUGCUUAUUAAAAUUUGUUUAAUCAGUUGAAUUGACAUAGAGAUAUAGUCAAGAGAUAAAUGGAUUUUGGUAGGUAAGUAUGUUUAUAAGUUAGCAAAUUACUGAGUUACCGUGAAUUUAUUCGUAACAACAUGAACAUGAGUUUAAUAAUUCUAAGUUAAGAAAUGUAAUUAAUCUAACACAAUUAUGUCAUCUUGAUUAAAAUCAUCUUUUGAAAUCGUGCACUGGUAUUUUCUAUUUAUUUAUUUUACUUAGCUAAAAAUCUUAGUUUUUAAUCUCCUAGUCAAAUCAAAAUAUUUUAAAAUCUUAGUUUUUAACCACCUUGUCAAAUCAAUAUAUUUUUCUUCAUCAAAGUGUUUUAAAUUGCAUUUAGAAAUAAUUUUUUUCACAGUCCCUGUGGGUAUGAUAAGUCGACAUUUACUUGUCAUUUUAUUACUUGUUGCGAUUGUGUACACUUGCAUAUUUUCGUCAUUCCAACUUUUUGGCGCCGUUACCGGGGACAAUUUUAAAAAUUCCUUAUUUCUGAAUUUGUGAAUUUUGCAUUUUGGUUUAUUUUUUCUGUUCAGUUUUUAAUUUAAUUAAUUUUUUUGUGUUUGUUGUAGGUGUUUAUGAGUAUUGAUUGAAUCAUCGAUUUACUCCUUGUAGACCCUGAGAUUGAAAGAACUUUUCGACAACGAAAAAGACAAGCAAGUUAGAGAAGGACUGAAGAGAUGAACUUCGAAAAUCCGAAUCAAGGAAAUAGAGCAAACCUUGCUCAAAAUUCCCUAUCCUUAUUGCUAAUGAUAGGGAUAGAGCUCUAAGACGAUAUGUCAUUCCAGUGUUUCAUGAUCUUAAUCCGGGUAUUAAGAGACCCAAAAUUGAGGCACAACAGUUCAAGCUGAAGCCAGUCAUGUUCCAGAUGCUUCAGACAGUGGGCCAAUUUAGUGGAAUGCCUAUCGAAGAUCCUCAUAUUCACUGAAGACUGUUUAUGAAGGUGAGCGAUUCUUUCAAGUUAGCUGGAGUACCUGAAGAUGUGCUACGAUUAAAGCUAUUCCCAUAUUCGCUAAGGGACACAGCUCGAGCCUGGUUGAACUCAUUGCCACCAAAUUCAAUUUCCACAUGGCAAGAGUUAGUGGAAAGAUUCCUUAUGAAGUAUUUCUCGCCUAGAAAAAAAAUGCUAAGUUGAGGAAUGAUAUCACUGUUUUCCAACAAAUGGAUGGUGAGUCCUUGUAUAAGGCAUGAGAAAGGUACAAAGAAUUAUUAUGGAAGUGCCCUCAUCAUGGAAUCCCACAUUCCAUCCAACUUGAGACGUUUUAUAAUGGUUUCAAUGCUCACUCGAGGAUGAUAGUGCAUGCUUCUGCUAAUGGUGCUCUCCUUUCCAAGUCUUAUAAUGGGGCUUAUGAAAUCAUUGAGAGGAUUGCCAGUAACAAUUAUCAAUGGCUAACCAAUCAAGCAGUGUUAGGAAGACGAGUCUCUGGAAUACAUGAAAUGGAUGCUCUCAUUUCACUCGCAUUUUAGGUAUCUUCGAUUUCCUCAAUGCUUAAAAAUUUUACCACUAAUGGGUUUAAUAGUUUUGCAACACAACCACAAAAUCAAUUUAAAAAUAUAGCUUGUGUCUAUUGUAGGGAAGGACAUCUGUUUGAAGAAUGUCCAUCGAACCCAGAAUCUGUGUAUUACAUAGGCAACCAGAACCAAAACUGAGGAAGGCAAGGACUACAAUCCAAUUCCUAUAACCCAUCAUGGCAAAACCACUCUAAUUUCUCCUAGAGUAACUAAGGGGUUGGACCCAGUAACAUAUACGCCUAACCUAGACCGACCCAGCCACCUAGUUUUACCCAACAAGUUCAGAAACAACCUCAAGUUGAGCCAUCCAAUGGCUUAAAAAACUUGUUGAAGGAAUACAUAGCCAAGAAUAAUGCCUUAAUCCAAAGCCAAGCAGCUACAUUUAAAAACCUGGAAAACCAAAUGGGCCAGCUUGCAGUUGAACUAAAAAACAGGCCACAAGGUGUUUUACCUAGUGAUACGGAGAAUCUGAGGAAUCCAGGGAAGAAGCAUUAACACUGAGGAGCAGAAAGACAUUAGAGCCCAACACUGUUGAAGCUAAAGAGGAGCCAACUGAUGCUUAAGACUUAGAGAAAGUUCAACUGAGUGUUGAAAUUCUAGUUUCAUCAGAACCUAAAUCUGCAAAAUCCAAAAAGAUAACUUCUAAACCUGCUAAUUCUAAUAAACUAGCAACUUCGUUAGAUGCAGAAUUGCCAUAGAAGACGAAUCAAAUAGUUUCAGUAAAGAAGCCUCCACCACCCUACCCUCAAAGACUUUAGAAGUAGAAGCAAGAAGUUCAAUUCAAAAAGUUCUUAAACGUACUCAAGCAAAUUCACAUCAACAUUUUGUUGGUUGAAGCACUUGAACAAAUGGCGAACUAUGUUAAAUUCAUAAAAGGAUAUCCUGUUUAAAAAAUGAUGACUAGGAGAAUUUGAGACGGUAGCCCUGACGAAGGAAUGUAGUGCAUAUCUUCAAGAUAAACAAUCCCCAAAAUUGAGGGAUCCUAGAUAUUUUACCAUACUUUGCAACAUUAGAGAAACAUAUUGUGGUAAGGAACUAUGUGACUUGGGUGCGAGUAUCAACUUGACGCCCAUAUUAAUAUUUAAGAAGUUGGGGAUAGGUGAAGUUAGACCUGUUAUAGUUACACUUCAAUUAGCAGAUCGAUCCUUAACACAUCCAAAAGGAAAAAUUGAGAUCGUAUUGGUAAGUGUAGAAAAAAUUAUUUUCUCUGCUAUCUUUAUUAUUCUAGAAUCUGAAGUAGAUAAAGAGGUGCCAAUCAUUUUAGAAAGGCCUUUCCUACCAACUGGAAGAACCCUUAUUGAUGUGCAGAAGGGCAAGCUCACUAUGCGUGUUCAGGACGAUCAGGUAACAUUUAAUGUUUUUAAGUCUAUGCGAUUUCCUAACACAAUUGAUGAUUGUUUUGUAGUAUCUAAUUUAGAGAAAUUAAUCAUGGAAAAAGAACUUAACUAUGUUGAGGAUCUGUAGAAGCAAAUUUUGACAUCAGAUCCUCCAAGUGAUGAAAAGGAGGAUGAAUACUUAGCUUUGCUAGAAGCUAAUCAAAGGGGAUUUAAUCUGCAAUCUCGCUUUAGAGAAUAGGGAUUAUGCCCAACCAAAAUUGUCAAUCAAGAAGCCACCUAAAUUAGAACUCAAGGUACUUCCUUCACAUUUAAAAUAUGUUUAUUUAGGUAAAGCUUCUACUUUGCCUGUGAUUGUUUCAGCGGAAUUAAUCAUAGAACAAGAAGAGAAACUCAUCCAAGUAUUGAAACAAUUCAAGAAGGCUAUUAGAUAUGCCAUAAUGGAUAUUCGUGGCAUUAGUCCAUCUGUAUACAUGCACAAGAUCAUCCUGGAAGAUGGCAAGAAAGAGACGAUUGAUGGACAACAAAGACUAAACCCCAUCAUGAAGGAUGUGGUAAAGAAAGAAAUCAUCAAGUGGUUAGAUGUGGGUAUAAUUUACCCCAUCUCAAAUAGUUUGUGGGUAAGUCUAGUCCAGUGCGUGCCAAAGAAAGGAGGUAUUACGAUCGUAGAGAAUGAAAACAAUGAGCUAAUACCAACCAGAACAAUUAUGGGAUGGGGAAUUUGCAUCGAUUACUAGAAGCUGAACAAGGUGACUAGGAAAGAUCAAUUUCCUUUGUCGUUCUUGGACCAGAUACUGGAUAGACUCGAAAGGCGAGACUUACUAUUUUCUUGAUGGAUACUCAGGGUAUAAUUAGAUUACAGUAGCACCGGAGGAUCAACACAAAACAACAUUCACAUGCCUGUGAAGUACAUUUGUAUUGAGAAGCAUGCCAUUUGGUUUAUGUAAUGCACCUACUACAUUUCAAAGAUGUAUAAUGUCUAUUUUUACUAAUAUGGUUGAGGAGAACUUGGAAGUGUUUAUGGAUGAUUUUUCAGUGUUUGGAGACACUUAUGAUGGUUGCUUAGCCAAUCUAGCCAAGGUACUAAGGCGAUGCGAAGAAACAAACCUUGUACUUAAUUGGGAGAAGUGUCAUUUCAUGGUACGAGAAAGUAUUGUUCUAGGACAUCGGAUAACGAGACAUGAAAUCAAGGUAGAUAAAGCAAAGGUAGAUGUUAUUGAGAAACUCCCACCUUUAACUUCUGUAAAGGGUGUUAGGAGCUUUUUGGGCCACGCCGGUUUCUAUCGAAGAUUCAUCAAGGAUUUCUCCAAAAUUGCUAAACCUUUAUGAAAAUUAUUGGAGAAAGACACGAUGUUCAAAUUUGAUGAGGAGUGGUUUACAAGCUUUCAAUGAUUUGAAAAGCCGGUUAGUUUCAGCACCAAUUAUUGUUACAUCAGACUAGGAUUUGCCAUUUGAAUUGAUGCGUGACGCAAGUGAUUUCGCGAUAGGAGCUUUCAUGGGCCAGCGAAGGAACAAAGUUUUUCAUCCUAUCUACUACGCAAGACAUACUCUGACGGGAGCUCAAUUGAAUUAUACGGUAACAGAGAAAGAACUACUUGCUCUUGUGUUUGCUUCUGACAAUUUUUGAUCUUAUCUUGUAGGUACUAAAUUAAUUAUCUAUACAGAUCAUUCGACAAUUAAGUAUUUACUUGCCAAGAAAAACUCUAAGCCAAGACUGAUCCGAUGGGUACUUCUACUUCAAGAGUUCGAUCUAGAAAUUCAAGAAUGAAAAGGGGUAGAAAACCAAGUAGCAGAGCACUUGUUCAGAUUGGAGCCGCAAGAAGGGAAUUCUCCACUUAUACUCAUUUAGGAGACAUUUCUAGAUGAACACAUACUAAAGGUAAAUCAUGCCCAUAAUACCCCUUGGUUUGCUGAUAUUGCUAACUAUUUAGCUUGUGCUUUGAUGCUGAUUGAUAAGACAUAUCAUCAAAAGAAAAAGUUUCUUCACGAUGUGAAGUACUUUUUUGGGAAAAACCAUACUUGUUUAAAAAGUGUGUAGAUCAAAUGAUCCGGAGAUGCGUGGCAGAAGAUGAAGUACAUAAGAUUCUAUAUCAUUUCCACUCAGCUCUGAGUGGGGGAUACUUCGGAGUACACAUACUGCAAGCAAAGUAUUGUAAGCCGAAUUCUUUUGGCCAACACUAUUUAAAUACGCGUAUCCUUACAUAAGGAGCUGUGAUCGAUGUUAAAGGUUGGAAACGUCACCAACAGAAAUGAGAUGCCUCGAACAAACAUCAUUGAGGUAGAAUUAUUCGAUGUUUGGGGUAUUGAAUUUUUUGAUCUUUUCCCUCCAUCUUUUGGUCACAAGUACAUAUUGGUAGCAGUAGACUAUGUGUCUAUGUGGGUUGAGGCUGAGGCAUAUCAGGUGAAAGAUGCCAAGGUUGUGAUGAAUUUUUUGUAGAAGCAUGUGUUCACAAGGUUUGGAACCCUAAGAGCUAUCAUCAGUGAUGAAGGGUCCCAUUUUGUGAACAAAUGGUUGAAAUGGUUACUCGACAAACAUUGAGUAAAGCACAAGGUUGCCAUAGCUUACCAUCCACAGACAAAUGGGCAAGCUGAACUAGCAAACAAAGAGAUCAAAGGCAUAAUCAAGAAUGUCGUUUGCCCGAAUCAACGAGAUUGGUCCAAAAGACUAGACGAUGCUUUAUGGGCCUACAGGACAACAUACAAGACACCUUUAGGGAUGUCACUCUAUAGGUUGGUCUUUGGGAAAGCCUAUCAUCUACCUUUGGAGUUAGAGAGAGCACAAAGCUUACUGGGCUCUCCAACAACUCAACUUGGAUCUUAAGCUUGCUAAAGAGAAAUGGAUGCUCCAACUUAAUGAGUUGGAAGAAUUCUGAAUGUUCUCAUACGAGAAUGCCAAAGUACUCAAGGCAAGACUUAAGAGAUGGCAUGACAAGCACAUUCGAAUUCGAGAAUUUGAAGUAAGUCAGCAAGUCUUGAUAUUCAAUUCUAGAUUAAGGUUCUUCUCAGGUAAGUUAAAAUCAUGUUGGUCUGGUCCAUUUAUGAUUCACGAAGUUUAUCUAUACAGAGUUGUCGAACAUCAAAGUAAGGAAGGUAAUUUUCGAGUCAAUGCUCAGCGCUUAAAACAUUACUAGGAUGAUAAAAUUAAACUGUAUCAAAUCUCGUUCAAUUUAUCACAUAUUUAACUUUUCUUGUUUUUCUUUUUAAAUAAAUAAUUUUGGGUAUAUUUUUGAGAUUAAUAUGUUUAAAUAAAUUUUGUCUAGGAGAUUGGAACUUAAGCGGGACCGCUUGUGACCCCUCCAAUCUUUCCUGGGAAUUGAUUUUAACAUAAUCUUCUGAGAAAUUAUUCCCUAAAUGACAAAAAUAAAUUUUUAGUUUUUCUAAUAAAAGGGUCCAUUUUGAUCCAAGUCUUAAUUACAACUCAUUUUCAAAUUUUCUUUAAGUCUAGGUACUUAAUUGAAUUAUUUUCAAAAUUUGGUUGCUCUUUUUGUAAAUAUUAAAAUUAGAUGUCUCUUUUUUGUAAAUAUUUUUGAAAGGCAUCUAGAAUAAACAUUUUUAAUUUAAUUUAAUAAAUAAGAUGAUAAUAACUAGUAUGUAAUUAUAUUUAUUAUUAACUUUGCAUAGAAUUAGGAUUAGUUUGAAUUUGAUCAUAUUUUAUUUAAUAAGAUUUUAUUUUAAUAAAUUAAUAGAAAAUAAUAAUUUAAUAUGCAUUAUAUUAAUUAUUAAUUGUUGUUAACUUAGUGUAGAAUUAGAACUUAGAAUAUUUUAACUAUUAAAUUGUUUUAAGAAUUAUAAUUAAAUUCCUACCUUUUCCCUAUAAAUUCCACCAACCUUCUCCAUCAUUCAUUACUCAUCAAACCAACCUCCAUUCAUCUAUCCCUUUAUCAAUCCUAGCAUGCAAAACCCUUAAGUACUGAAUCAUCUGGUGCUGCAGCUCCCAACUCUCUAGCCGCAACACCGUCGAGCAGCCCUAUUCGGCCAACAGCUCACUUUGCAUUUGCAUGCACUUGGCUCACCUAGCUAGCAGCCCAUCCCGCACGCACCUGCCUCCAUCGCUCACUGCUACACGCACCUGCCUCCAUCGCUCGCUGCUACUACCUUGCACGUCCUGCUCUGCCUGCAUCGUGUCACUCCCAGCUCCAGCUCGCCUGCGCCAACACUGCUGCUCGCUCAAUGUUGCUGUCUGUUGCCCGCGCAGUUGCUCACGCCAGGCCUUGUUGCUCCCUAGCACAUCUACCCACACACCCAGCAGCUUCCCAGUAUCCGUGUGGCACACCAGCCUUGCUACUCGCACCAACACCCCACACUUAGCCGAUAACCCUCUAACCAUCACUAAAUUGACCUCUUUUGAUUUAUAUUUAUUUUUCUUUGAGUUCUUAAUUUUUAUAAAAAAGUGGUAAGAGAAAUUUUCUUCCUAAAUUUUAAUUUUAUUUAGUUAUUUAUUUUUUUCAAUUUAUUGAGUUAUUAAUAUUUUAUACUAAUUAAAUUUUUGAGAAAAUUAUGGAAAAUGGAUCUACCUCUUAAAAUCAAAAUUACAGUUUGGAGAUUCUUAUGCAACUAUCUGUCUAGUUUUAGUAAUCUUCACUUUCACAGAAUGAUGGCUUCCUCCAUGUGUCCAAGGUGUCAAACAGGAGCAGAAAUGAGGGAACAUAUAUUUCGGGAAUGUCUUCCUGCAAAAGAUACAUGGAAGCAGUUACAUAUGGUAUGGCCUCUAGAGGACAACUCAGACCUUACAGUUUGGUUGAAAAAUACCUUUGAGUCCAGAUCCAUGGCUUUGUAUAGAAUGGCAGUAUGUGCUUUAUGGGUGAUAUGGAUGUCUCAGAACAAAUUUAUUCAUGAGGGGGAUCAGGUUUUCAAAUUGCUAGUUUUGUGUAAAAUUAUUUAAAUGAACUUGAUGGUCUAAAAAGAUCUAUACCUGAAAAGGAUUUGUGUGGACAGAUGGACUGCUCCCAUGGGACUGAGAUUGAAAGUGAACUUUGACGCAGCUUUCAACAACCAUAACAAAGAGUCGUGCUCAGGGUUAGUGAUUCGUAACAGUAAAGCAGAGGUCAUUUGUUCUAAAACAAAAAUGAACUUGAACAUACUGUUCAUUUUUGCUGCAGAAGAAAUGUCGUGUCUUCAGGCACUGAAGCUGGGGUUACAACUUAGGUUGAGGGAGGUGGAGGUUGAAGGUGACUCUCGGUCGGUCAUCUAAAAGCUGUAAGAGGAAAAGGACAGAUCUGAGAUUUCUGUGUGUAUCAAAGAUGCUCAGAACGUUAGUUGUCAAUUUAAUCUUUGUGUUUUUCUUUUUACAAAUAGGGAGUCUAACAAAGUCACCCAUUAUUUAGCGCAAGCAAGACUCAAGAAAAGAGAAACCACUUAUCUGUCAAAUCUGGUAUUUUCUGCUACGGCAGAGGCAGAGGCAGUGGCUAAAGAUAGGACGUGGACGGAGGCAAUGAGUGAGGAUAGGGGAAGAAGAUAUGAAAGGGCUGAAGAAAGUGUUUUGGAAUUUUGAUUUUGCUAAGAGUUUCAAUUAGGUUUUUUCAAUGUGUAUAAGGGUAAUGAAAAUGUUUGAUGGGAUAGAUAUGACAGGUAAUUAAAGCACCAGUUGGUUUUGCUUCCCCAUGCAGUUUCUUGCUAUUUUCCAAAAGGGGUUUCAGUUAUUGGAGUACAGUUGGAGAACGAUGUCUCUAGAGCUCCCCUUGUUGCUAUUUGCUGGAUCUUGUUUUUGGGCCUUUUCUUCGAUUUUGCUUUGGAUUACUUUUGUUUUAGGCUUUUGUUUGUUUGGUUUUUUAGUCUGUUUGUUCAGACUGGUCUUUUAAGACUCAUAACCUUAUGGCUUUGAUUUUAUGUUGUCCUUUUUGAAUAAAAUCCAGUGAUUAUUUCUUCAAUUUUUUUUUGAGAAAAUAUUUGUUUCCAUCUUAUGUUCAGGUUAAUCAUGCCUCGCAAGAAAACUUGUGCUUCUGUGGAAAUUGAUGAAUCACAAAACAAAUUCUACUGUGAAGAAGCCAAAGCGAGAUAUAAAAGCGUUUUCAAGAAUCAACAGAUGCACCAAGAAAAAGGCUUCACACUGAAAGAAAGCAACUAUAUUGAUUUCAUGGCGCGCAUUCGACAAAUUUUUGAAUCUCUGUAACACCCCUUACCAGUAUUUGAUGCCAGAAUAGGAAACGAGGCAUUACCGGACGUAAACACAAGCAAACAUACAUUCCGAGUUGUAAAUUUUGCACCAAAUUAAAAAAAAUUUAACAAUCAAUCACAUCAUCCUUAAAACGAGCCACAAGGCCCA